UACGAAGGGGGCUAGCGUUGUUCGGAAUUACUGGGCGUAAAGCGCACGUAGGCGGCUUUGUAAGUCAGAGGUGAAAUCCCGGGGCUCAACCCCGGAACUGCCUUUGAAACUGCAGAGCUCGAAUCCAGGAGAGGUGAGUGGAAUUCCGAGUGUAGAGGUAGAAAUUCGUAGAUAUUCGGAAGAACACCAGUGGCGAAGGCGGCUCACUGGACUGGUAUUGACGCUGAGGUGCGAAAGCGUGGGGAGCAAACAGGG
rnacentral:rRNA from 1 species